AGUAUACAAAGGGCGUAUUAAGGUCGAUGGGGAUGAGGACAGGAUAGACGUCGUUGCAAUCAAGCGCCUUUCCAGAGAUUCAGUACAGGGAGUGCCUGCGUUCAGGGCGGAGGUACAGCUACUGUGCCAGCUGCGCCACCCCAACCUCAUCUCUCUCGUCGGAUUCUGCCAAGAAAAUGGAGAGCGUAUCAUUGUCUACGACUACAUGCCCAACGGUACCCUCUCUGAUUACCUCCUUGAUCCUUCCAAUAUUAAAAAUAAAGAUCCUUUUCCCUUGACUUGGAAGCAAAGGCUGAAAAUUUGUAUUGGGGUAGCGCGUUCAAUACACUACCUCCACGCAGGGGUUAAGCAUGCUGUCAUCCAUCGAGCUGUGAAAUGCUCCAGCGUUCUAUUGGACCAAAACUUGGUGCCCAAGCUUUCUGACUUCGGGUUGUCCAAGAUGGGUCCUCCUGUCUUGUCAAAUGCAUUAAUCAAAUUAACCUCGCGGAUCUUUGGUACAAUAGGCUAUCUUGCUCCAGAGUAUGCAAUGUUCGGACAACUUACCGAAAAAUCUGAUGUCUAUUCAUUUGGAAUGGUGUUACUUGAAGUGUUGUGUGCCAAAUCUGUUUCAAGAGAGAUAUUUGAAUGUGUGGAAAGGGGUGAGACUUUCCCUGCUAUAAUUGAUCCUUUUCUGAUUGGAAAAGUAGCUCCAGAUUGUUUGAGAAAAUUUAUGAUCAUCGCCAUGAGAUGUGGGCGCCCUGCAGGAGCUGAACGGCCCACGAUGGGUGAAGUGCAGGUGGAACUUGAGUGCGCACUGGAGUUGCAGGAGAGGGCUGACACCGUCAAGCAGCUCAAUGAGUUGAGGACAAGUGCAAGUACUUCUCUUGCUCCUCUUCCUGCCCAUGACAUGGAGGACUAUACCUACCAAAAUAUAUCAUUUUCUGAGAUCAAUGAAAUCAUCUGUAAUAGGUAUAGGAAUUCGCGAGAUUCUUUUAGCACUGAUGAGGCAGCUUCUGUUGAUGGCAUUGCCAGCCUUGAUCAAGCAUUAUAAUGAGAAAAUAUAUUAUGAAGUUGUUUCUACAAAAUAAAUAUAUUAUAAAUUUGGUAGCAUUGAUCUAUGAGAGAAAACAUAAAAAUUAAACGGUUGGUUUGUUAAAAUAUAUUAUAAAGUUGUUUCUACAAAAUAAAUAAUCAAGCAUUAUAAUGAGAAAUUUAAAAUGCAAAAUAAUGAACGAUUAACUCAUGACACCGAGUCACCGACACUGGGUCCAAGUAGGUAUACCGUAUAUAUGUUUGUGUGAAUGUGGGCCGGGUUUCCACACAGCGGCUCUUAGUUAAUUCAAUUACAUAAAGUGAAUGUGGUCUUAUCCGCGGAAAGUGGGGUAUGAGCACAGCUCGUACUUGUUGGAUUUAUCGGAAAAAUCAUAUCGUAAGGUUUAAAAACAUUCGGGUGACUGAACGUUUUGCUUGACCCCAUGUAACAAGGUGGCUUUCUCAAUCAGCAGGUCCCCUAAGUGUAAGAUCUCACGUCGUUCAGGGAAGUGAUCCUUAUAUGUAUAUUCUCAUCCCUAUCUAGCACGAGGCCUUUUGGGAGCUCACUGGUUUCGGGUUUCAUCGGAACUUCGAAGUUAAGCGAGUAGCACGAGAGAGCAAUCCCAUUAUGGGUGACCCACUGGGAAGUUCUCGUGUGAGUUCCCAGAAACAAAACCAUGAGAGCGUAGUCGGGGUCCAAAGCGGACAAUAUCAUACUACGGUGGUGGAGCGGACUCGGGAUAUAGUGGACCCCGGGCGGGGAUAUGACACCAAGUCUCAACAACAAAUGAUACCACAAACUCUGCCAUGCUUUGUGCUUGCUAGCUACUUCCUAAUCCUCAAAUUACAGCAGAACAAAGGUUAAUUUUACAUACAAAAAAAGAAGAAGAAGAAACUAUUACUUUUUUUCUUUCUUUCUUAUCUACUAAAAGAACAUAACCAAACUAGCUAUAUGUUGUGAUUUAUAUAACCAACUCACAGUUAUUUUGAUAUUUACCACCCUCCAAAUCUCAUUCAAUAGGUAAUUAUCGGGAAGAUUCUUACUCUUAGUUAUAUAUCCCGAGUUUAUAUUUGUUUGCCUGUCUUUCUCUUGUCGCAAGAUGAUAGCUUGAAAGUUUCUCUCAUCUUGUUGGGAAGGUGAUGAGUGGGCCAAUCUGAAAAUAUUUUGAUGUGAAUGAGGGGUUAUUCUAUGAUCAUAUAAUAUCCACACAGCCCUUGAAUUAUUUUCCAAUUCAGAGUAAAUGAUGGGAAAAGGAGAAGGGAAAGAAAGAAGGGUGGUGAUGGCACCGAAAGAACGAAGAAGGGAAAGAAAGAAGGGUGAUGAUGGCACCGAAAGAAAGAAGGAAAAGGGAAAGGGAUAGGAUAAAAGAGUCAUCAUCAUAUUUUCCUUCGCCAUUACCUGUUUUUUGGAGCAUGGGAACGGCUGAGAAAAAACAACACAACAUUCAUCAAUUCAUAAACAACAUACAAAGGGGAUAUCAUACUUUAACACACAUUUUCACAACACACUCCGUAACUUUCUUUAAUUAUUCAAAUCGUUUAUAUUUUAAUUAAUUAUUCAUAAAUCAUUCUUGUAAAAAAAAAUUAGAUCAAUUCAAAACCAUUAAGACAUUUAUUUAUAGUGAAUAAAAUAGACAAAUACGGGAAACACUAAAAUAACUGUUAUUAAUUUGACCAUCAUAUAUGCCUAUAAAAAAAUCGACAAUCUUAUAAUUUUGGAUUUGGAUGAAAUUUGGUAGCAUUGAUCUAUGAGAGAAAACAUAAAAUUAAAUGGAUCGUUAAAAUAUAGAGGUAUUCAUCAAUUUCCCCCCUGAACUUGUGACUAUUGGCCAAUUUCCCCCCUCAACUUUAAUUUUGGCCAAUUUCCCCCCUCAACUCUCAUAAUUAGUCAAUUUCCCCCCUCAACUUUAAUUUUGGCCAAUUUCCCCCCUCAACUCUCAUAAUUAGUCAAUUUGCACCCAAUUGUUAAUUUAUUUUUUUUUAAUUUUCCAUCUAUUCUUUUUUUUUCAAUCUUUCUAAUAACUUCCAACAAAGUACUAAAAUUAACAUAAACUCACUUGCAUAAUAUAGGGUUAAAAUGUACAAAACAUUAAUACAAUUAGUAUGUGAUAUGGGUUGAUUAUAAGAAAAAGUUAUUGAAUCGGGUUUUUGUAAAAGAAGAAAUAAUAACAAAAAGACAUAAUAAUCAUAAAACUCAUGGAUCAGACCUAUUUCAAUAAAAUAGGUUAUUCUUAAUAAUGAGUAAAAAAUUAUGAAUUGACUAGCCAUUUUUGCACUAAAGCUCGAUUCUCUGCAAUUUACUUGAACUUAGCUUUCACUUUUAUAAAGAAAAUUGUAUUCACAUACAAAAAUGUACACAUCAAUCCUUUUCGUUAUCAAAUUUGUAUAGUAAAAAAUCAAAUAAAAUUACUCCAUACUGAUUUAUUAUGACUAAUAAUACUAUCUAUGAUAAAUUGUAAAAUUCUAAAUUUUAAUCUAUUUGUAAUAGGAUAAAGAUAUAGGAAAAUGAUUAACAUACAUCUUAUUUAGUUUCUUACACACACUUGUUUAAUUAUGAUCAAAUUAAAAAAUUAAUAGUAGGGUGCAAAUUGACUAAUUAUGAGAGUUGAGGGGGGAUAUUGGCCAAAUUAAAGUUGAGGGGGGAAAUUGACUAAUUAUGAGAGUUGAGGGGGGAAAUUGGCCAAAAUUAAAGUUGAGGAGGGAAAUUGGCCAAUAAUCACAAAUUCAGGAGGGAAAUUGAUGAAUACCUCUAAAAUAUAUUAUAAAAUUGAUCUUAUCCGCGGAAAGUGGGGCAUGAGCACAGCUCACACUUGUUGGAUUUAUCGGAAAAAUCAUAUCGUAAAAAUAUUCAGUUCACUUUCUUUAAUGUGAAGUCCUGGUCUUUGGAGGACUUUUGAGUCCUGACGCUGCCAUUAAUUUCCAAGGAAAAACCAGCCGCCAGCAGGUGGACCUUGUUAAUAAUUUGGGACCCUCUCUCGAAUAUGCAGAAUGUAAGAGGAUGAGGAGGAUCACUUUGUGAGUCCAUGUCUUAGAUGCAUAGUGAUGGGGCGUACUGCGCAGUCUGUUUCUCGUUUCUUCUCUCUUCGGAAGAAGAAACAAAAUGAUUGGGCGUUUCCAGAAGAAUUAUGCCGUCGUUUUACACUUGCUGAGAUCAGUGCAGCAACUCAAUGUUUCGACCAAACCUUAUGUAUUGGUGAGAGUGUCUUUGGCACAGUAUACAAAGGGCGUAUUAAGGUCGAUGGGGAUGCGGACAGGAAAGACGUCGUUGCAAUCAAGCGCUUUUCCGGAGAUUCAAUCCAGGGAGUGUGUGAGUUCAGGGCGGAGGUACAGCUACUAUGCCAGCUCCGCCACCCAAACCUCAUCUCUCUCGUUGGAUUCUGCCAAGAAAAUGGAGAUUGUUUCAUUGUCUACGACUACGUGCCCAACGGUACCCUCUCUGAUUACCUCUUUGAUCCUUCCAAUAUUAAAAAUAAAGAUCCCUUUCCCUUGACUUGGAAGCAAAGGUUGAAAAUUUGUAUUGGGGUGGCUCGCUCAAUACACUACCUUCACGCGGGGGUUAAGCAUGCUGUCAUCCAUCGAGACAUAAAAUGCUCCAUCAUUCUAUUAGACCAAAACUUGGUGCCCAAGCUUUCUGGCUUCGCGUUGUCCAAGAUGGGUCCUCCUGUCUUGUCAAAUCCAUUAAUCAAAUU
rnacentral:lncRNA from 1 species